CCGAAAUUGUGAAAUUACUGUCAGUCUGUCCUGCUUUGGAAACUAUUGAGUUUCUUAAGGUUGGGGAUUUUUCAUAGCCUGGAAAUUAAUUCUUUCAAAGUAGAAAGCCUGAAAUUGUAAGGUUAUUGGAUGGAUGAUGAUGGAAGCGAAAGUGAUAGUUCCUUGGAAAUUUUUGCCCCAAAUAUUCACGAUUUGCUGCUUUCACAUGAUUUGCAUGAUUUCACGUGUAGGCUUGUAGAUGUAUCCUCUGUGGUUAAAGCUAAGGAUAGUCCUUGUCAAGAUUCUGAUGAUGAGGAAGACAGUUGCAGUGAUUAUUAUCAAGAUUCUGAUGACGAGGAAGACUGUCCCAGUGAUUAUUAUUAUCAUGAUUCUGAUGAUGAUGAGGAUAA
rnacentral:misc_RNA from 1 species